rnacentral:rRNA from 1 species
GGCUCAGAUUGAACGCUGGCGGCAUGCCUUACACAUGCAAGUCGAACGGCAGCGCGGGAGCAAUCCUGGCGGCGAGUGGCGAACGGGUGAGUAAUACAUCGGAACGUGCCCAAUCGUGGGGGAUAACGCAGCGAAAGCUGUGCUAAUACCGCAUACGAUCUACGGAUGAAAGCAGGGGACCGCAAGGCCUUGCGCGAAUGGAGCGGCCGAUGGCAGAUUAGGUAGUUGGUGGGGUAAAGGCUCACCAAGCCUUCGAUCUGUAGCUGGUCUGAGAGGACGACCAGCCACACUGGGACUGAGACACGGCCCAGACUCCUACGGGAGGCAGCAGUGGGGAAUUUUGGACAAUGGGCGCAAGCCUGAUCCAGCAAUGCCGCGUGCAGGAUGAAGGCCUUCGGGUUGUAAACUGCUUUUGUACGGAACGAAAAGGCUCUUUCUAAUAAAGAGGGCUCAUGACGGUACCGUAAGAAUAAGCACCGGCUAACUACGUGCCAGCAGCCGCGGUAAUACGUAGGGUGCGAGCGUUAAUCGGAAUUACUGGGCGUAAAGCGUGCGCAGGCGGUGAUGUAAGACAGUUGUGAAAUCCCCGGGCUCAACCUGGGAACUGCAUCUGUGACUGCAUCGCUGGAGUGCGGCAGAGGGGGAUGGAAUUCCGCGUGUAGCAGUGAAAUGCGUAGAUAUGCGGAGGAACACCGAUGGCGAAGGCAAUCCCCUGGGCCUGCACUGACGCUCAUGCACGAAAAG